AGUGAACGCUGGCGGUAGGCCUAACACAUGCAAGUCGAACGGCAGCACAGUAAGAGCUUGCUCUUACGGGUGGCGAGUGGCGGACGGGUGAGGAAUACAUCGGAAUCUACUUUUUCGUGGGGGAUAACGUAGGGAAACUUACGCUAAUACCGCAUACGACCUACGGGUGAAAGCAGUGGAUCUUCGGACCUUGCGCGAUUGAAUGAGCCGAUGUCGGAUUAGCUAGUUGGCGGGGUAAUGGCCCACCCAGGCGACGAUCCGUAGCUGGACUGAGAGGAUGGUCAGCCACACUGGAACUGGGACACGGUCCAGAGUCCUGCGGGAGGCAGCAGUGGGGAAUAUUAGACAAUGGGCGCAAGCCUGAUCCAGCCAUACCGCGUGGGUGAAGAAGGCCUUCGGGUUGUAAAGCCCUUUUGUUGGGAAAGAAAAGCAGCAGGUUAAUACCCCGCUGUUCUGACGGUAACCAAAGAAUAAGCACCGGCUAACUUCGUG
rnacentral:rRNA from 1 species